GCCUUGAGGGCGUUUAGUCUGGGUCUUCCAAGUAUGGCGUUGUAGACCGAGGACACUUGGAUGACCGCAAAAGUCAGGUGGACUGUGCUUUGUCGUGGUUCGGCUCCAGCCGUCAUGGGUAGGGUGACCUCUCCUUCCACCGCGACAGCGUCUCCAGCAAAGCCUAUCAGGGGCGUAGAGACUCUCUUGAGUCGGUCGGCCGAUAGUCGCAUCCGG
rnacentral:lncRNA from 1 species